AGGAGAGGAGAGGAGAGGAGAGGAGAGGAGAGGAGAGGAGACAAAAGAAAAAGAAAAGAAAAGAAGAGAAAAGAAAAGAAAAGAAAAGAAAAGAAAAGAAGAGAAAAGAAAAGAAGAGAAAAGAAAAGAAAAGAAAAGAAAAGAAAAGAAAAGAAAAGAAAAGAAAAGAAAAGAAAAGAAAAGAAAACUGUUUGUUUUUUCUGAAUCAAGGGAUUUCUUAUCUGAAAUCUGGAACAGCAAAGGAAUCUAAGACAAAUUAGAGUUCUGCCAAAUUUAAUAGAGUCCAGAGACAUUUCCUGGAAGACAAUAUCUGUUUCAGCUGGAAAUACAAAUUCGUCUCAAUGAGCAGCAGGAACACAAAGUGUCACGUGGGUAUGAGAUGGAUUCUCACAAGGGCAGAUACACAAACACCAGCACAAUACUGAGGCUACAGAUUUCACAUUAAACCAAUCCCAAAACAGGUGAAAGAGUAGUGGGAAAGAGGAAUGGGAACGGGCAUCUGGUUCUUCUCAGAAAUUAUAUUGACUCUCAGUUUAUGCAGGCAAAGACAGGACAGAGGCUGUGCUCCAGUCUCACCUCAUUGCAGUCCUGGAAAUGAGCAUGCAUGCCUCAUGGUGCUCUUCCAGCAGACCAUCUGCCUUCCAUGUUUGCUAUGCAGGCUGCCAGUGAUUUUGGUUGGUUGUUGUGUCAUAGCUUCCAGGGAUUCCCAGCACAUUCUUAGGUGCCAUGAGAACAAAAAGGGAAAUGAUUUGUGUAAAUGGCAGUGGAUGCAGGAGGGAGGUGUACAGCUCAGAAGGGCAAUCCUUCUGGAGAGACCAGCAGAAAGGACACAGGAUCACAGAGCACCCACCUUGAGGUCCUGAUCUGCCACAGCUUCUGUGCUUCAAGUUGUGCAGCCAUUUCUUUUGUUGCCCUUUCCAACAAUUAAACAGAUAAGCAGUUGUGAGUGUGAGUCGCUGUGAGUUCACUACAGUGAAGAAGUGACAUGGAGCCAAAAGAGGUAACAGGAAGCCUGGAGACAGUUGUCCACAUUUCUUAAAGUGUCUUUGCUGUUAAGAAUCUUAUGCUUCCCAAGUGACAGCUAUGUUUUAUUAAUGGUGUGUUUAACAACUGUCUCCAGUGAAUAUCCACAAGAGAUCUUAUGGCAAUGGGAAGUGAUAAUUAGUAAAAUAAAAU
rnacentral:lncRNA from 1 species